AUGUUACUGCUAGGAGAGCAAUUUCAUAAGUUAUCCGAAUUUGCUAUUUAUCUAGCUGACUUGUCAUUGCUCCUCUAUCCCCAUUUCUAUUGCUUGUUCAUAGGGUUCAAUUAAGUAUGUCCAAGAUGACAUAUCUGGAGCAUUGAGGAGGGCAAGAAAGACGAAUAUAUUGCAAUAGAGGAAUAUAUAUCCUCUAUGAGGAUGUGAAGUCAUGCCCGUACGAGGAUGUUCAUGUCCUCUGGUCGAUACUUGUGGAGUCACACCCUCCACCAUUGCGGUUGAAGCAAUGAGAAUUCAUGUGCCCAUGAAAAGGAAAGAGAAUAAGCAAGGUUUGAUGUAUAUGGAUACGCUCAUGCCUAUAGGUUCCUUUUGAGUUACAUGUCAUGUAGCUUCACAUGUUUGAUGAGCGAGGGCUACGAGCUGCUUCUCUUAUGGCCCUAUUUCUUCUCAUUAAGUCUUUCUGCUUUCCAAAAGAAAUUAGAAGCUUGACUUCAUGUGUUGGAUGAGUGAGGGUGAUAUUUUUGUACAUACAUACACAUCAUGCAAGGAAGAAAAAAAAAGGACAAAUGUGUCAUAGGAUUCGGUAAAA